AAACUGGAGGCAACAUGGAGGCAGCAUGGUACCAUAGAGGGUUAAAAGCUGCUUUUGAUGUUUGGUACAUCAUUUGGAUAGUUCAUUUUUUGUUUGUCUUUUUCUGGUAUGGUACCCUCUGCAAAUCUCAUGUGCUCUUUUUGAGUUCUCACUGAAUCACAUUAAUCAUUGCUCUUUUGUUGGAGAACGGUGAACACGAGCGGCAAAAGUGAAACACCACUACAACACAGCUGUCAUCACUUAUUAGGACUCACGUAUUAAGUGUUCAUACUCAUUUCUAAUCAUGCAAUCAAAGCAACUCUUCAAAAUACAAGCAUUUCAGAGCGAACAGAUCACUGGAUAUGAUGUGAACAAUGGACUGAAACAAUCUCGAGGAGGAUGAGGACUGGAAGAGCUGGAAGAAAUGAGUGAAGGAGAGGAAGAGGUAGAUCUGGAGGAGGAUGUGGACAAAGAAGAUGUAGACCACAUUUAUCAGAUGUGAUUCGAGCAAACCUCGGUUGACCGUGUUGUAAAGAGAGGCUGGACAGAGAGUUCAGCUCAACCUCAGCACAUUUACUGCUGCUACAGUCAUUCUGACUUUUUGACAAGAGCACAGCAUGGCGGUGGAAGGUUUAUAUCCCUCAAUCAAGCCAUGGAGGAGACCUGUGAACUAACUGUGAUGUGGAUGAAGUGCCAUCAAUAUAUUCAUGUACUUUACUCUAACAGUAUAUCUGAAAAUAUCAAACCCAGAUUACAUUAUUAGAAAAGUGGAACUGUUACAAGUGUUUAAGAUUGAGCACAGCAGUGUGUAAGUGGUGCAAACAGACCUGUAUUUCAGUCAUUGAUUUCACCGUUUCACUUUUUUUUUUUUGUCUUAAAUCUGUUACAGUCAAACUAUGAUCGCGGCUGUGAAAAAAGAGAGAACGACGUCAAUAAUCUGUAAAAAGUGUAAAAGCGCAAACAGGUACUUUCCGUCGUCUUCGCUCCGCCCACCGUCUCCUCCACCAAUCACACGGCUCGUGCUCUCCUACACAACAGAGUUAAAGCGUGCAGCAUCAGAGGACUCGAUCCAGAUGCAGGAGUUUCAUUCAGCUCAAAAGAUCUGAUGAAGGUCUGAGACAUGCAUUUAAAUACAGUUUUGUGUCUAACUGAUUUACAUUGGAGUAUUUUUUUUUUUUUUGUCUCUAAGGAAAAGGGGAUGUUCAAACAGAAUAUAAAGUGUUCACAAGCAGCAUGUACAAGUCUGAGUCUUACUGACUGAUGCUUGAGAUUGAACUGGAUUUUGUAAUUUAGGCUAUUAGACUGAUAGUCUGCGCAGCGGGCGUCCCGAGUUUGAGUCGCGGUGAAGAACUGAAGAGUCGUACAGUACAGUACAUUUGGAAAAGGUGUAGCGCCAGGAUGAAUUACUGAAGGAGGCAUAUUAAGAAUUUCAGAGAGAGAGAAAUUAGCUAAUACAAAUAGAAAUGUUAUGUCAUUAACUGCUAAAAUUAUUGUUUUAUUGUCGCUGUCAAAAGGAAUAUUAAUAAUCACGCACAUGCACAAUUGUAAAACUCAACCUUCACAAUAAAUGUUUUGCUGGAAUAUAAUGAAAUGAAAGAAACUAAGAAAUCUGAAAUGAAUUUGAACUUUAAAUUUUAAUUCUGCAAAUAAAUGAUAUAAAAAAGGUUAAUAUAGUGAAACGAUGGUAACCACAAAUUAGCAUGAUUUUGCUACACUACCAUGGUCUUUGUAAUAAACACGCCAAAAUAACUUUCUACAAUUUUACUAUAAUAAAACCAUUGCAAAUUUUCAUAAACGUGUUGAUAAUUAAAGUGAAAGUUGUCAAGUUUAAGUCCCCAGAAGCAUUAAAUAAUAUUAUUUUUACUUAUUUUUGAGUACCCAAGAAAACGAGGAAUGGAUGACUGGUGCGAGAGCGCUGUUUAUCUUUUAUUUGAUUAACUUGAAACUUGAUUUGUACAGCGCUAUCAUCAUCAUUCAGUGGCUUUGCAAUACGAACAAAAAACAUUACCACGAUGAUUGCGAUUUCGAUUGUAAUCACUAGACAAUAUUUACUUACAGAUUUUACAGCCAUGAAUGCAGUUCGGUAUGAAUGAGAAUUAGAAACAUAGCCUAUUUCAAAAUAAAACCAACCGCUUUUUCAAAAAGUGAAACUCUUACAAAACAAUACGAAAAUUAAUAAACAUCAUACAAUUAAAAAAAAAAAAAAAAACCAGACUGAAAAGUCUGUCAAAUAACAGUAACUAGAACAGUGCUAAAGUUUAUAUCGUGUCGCACUGAAAAAAAGUGCAGGACCCCAAUGAGUGCCGAUGUCCUGCAGUUUAGCUCCAACUCUGAAUAAAACCUCACCUGCCUGUAGCCCUAGUGAUUCUGAAGACCUUGAUUAGCUUGUUCAGGUGUGUUUGAUUAGGGUUGGACCGACGCUGCCUACACCUGUUGUAAACCAUGCCUGUUAAUAGUUCGCUGUAAACCAUAAUUUUAUAGCUGAUACCUUAUUACUUCUAAUAAUAUUUAUUUAGUUUUUUUUUAAUCCAUAAAGCCACAAGAUUAAAAAAAAAAAAAAAACGAAAAGGACCAAAACUCCAUUGUUUAUUACAUCUUCUAUUCAUUUCAAUAUGUACGUUCACUAAGUCUCUGAUUAAAUGUAACAGAAAGCCAUU